rnacentral:rRNA from 1 species
AACGAACGCUGGCGGCAUGCCUAACACAUGCAAGUCGAACGAGACCUUCGGGUCUAGUGUCGCACGGGUGCGUAACGCGUGGGAACCUGCCCUUAGGCUCGGAAUAACUCCCCGAAAGGGGUGCUAAUACCGGAUAAUGUCUUCGGACCAAAGAUUUAUCGGCUUUGGAUGGGCCCGCGUUGGAUUAGCUAGUUGGUAGGGUAAAAGCCUACCAAGGCGACGAUCCAUAGCUGGUUUGAGAGGAUGAUCAGCCACACUGGGACUGAGACACGGCCCAGACUCCUGCGGGAGGCAGCAGUGGGGAAUAUUGGACAAUAGGCGAGAGCCUGAUCCAGCGAUGCCGCGUGAGUGAUGAAGGCCUUAGGGUUGUAAAGCUCUUUUACCCGGGAUGAUGAUGACAGUACCGGGAGAAUAAGCUCCGACUAACUCCGUG